GACAGAGGGUGCAAACGUUGUUCGGAAUUACUGGGCGUAAAGCGCGUGUAGGCGGCCCGGAAAGUUGGAUGUGAAAGCCCUGGGCUUAACCUAGGAAGUGCAUUCAAAACUGCCGGGCUUGAGUUCUGGAGAGGAAGGCGGAAUUCUCGGUGUAGAGGUGAAAUUCGUAGAUAUCGAGAGGAACACCGGUGGCGAAGGCGGCAUCCUGGACCAAUUCUGACGCUGAGGAGCGAAAGCCAGGGGAGCAAACGGG
rnacentral:rRNA from 1 species